rnacentral:rRNA from 1 species
GACGAACCGAGCGAACGUUGUUCGGAAUCACUGGGCUUAAAGGGCGCGUAGGCGGGCUGUCAAGUUUGGGGUGAAAUCCCGAGGCUCAACCUCGGGUCUGCAGUCGAUACGGGCGGACUUGAGUACUGCAGGGGAGACUGGAAUUCCUGGUGUAGCGGUGAAAUGCGCAGAUAUCGGGAGGAACACCCGUGGCGAAGGCGGCACUCUGGGACGGUACUGACGCUGAGACGCGAAAGCGUGGGGAGCAAACAGG